UUAUACAUGCAAGUCGAACGGAGGCCCUAGCUUGCUAGGUGUCCUUAGUGGCGCACGGGUGAGUAACACGUGGGAACAUACCUUAUAGUACGGAAUAACUGCCGGAAACUGUAGCUAAUACCGUAUAUUCCAGCAAUGGGAAAGAUUUAUCGCUAUAAGAUUGGUCCGCGCAAGAUUAGCUUGUUGGUGAGGUAAAAGCUCACCAAGGCAUCGAUCUUUAGCUGGUUUGAGAGGACGAUCAGCCACACUGGGACUGAGACACGGCCCAGACUCCUACGGGAGGCAGCAGUAGGGAAUAUUGGACAAUGGGGGCAACCCUGAUCCAGCAAUGCAGCGUGAGUGACGAAGGCCUUAGGGUUGUAAAACUCUUUCAUCGGUGAGGAUAAUGACAGUAGCCGAAGAAGAAGGACCGGCU
rnacentral:rRNA from 1 species